CCCUAGCCCCGAUAGAAGCGGCAUCCUUUUGUGGCUUUGCGAUAACUAUAAUAAAGCCACAAAAGAUACAGCGUAUAGCGGGAAAUAGC
rnacentral:sRNA from 1 species